GAUGAACGCUGGCGGCGUGCCUAACACAUGCAGUCGAGCGAGAACUUAUGUAAGGAACUUCGGUAGAUUUACAAAAGGGAAAGCGGCGGACGGGUGAGUAACGCGUAGGCAACCUGCCCCAUACAGGGGGAUAGCCACCGGAAACGGUGAUUAAUACCUCAUAAAGCAUAGAUAACACAUGUUAAAGAUGUCAAAGAGAAUUCGGUAUGGGAUGGGCCUGCGUCUGAUUAGUUAGUUGGUGAGGUAACGGCUCACCAAGGCGACGAUCAGUAGCCGACCUGAGAGGGUAGGCGGCCACAUUGGAACUGAGACACGGUCCAGACUCCUACGGGAGGCAGCAGUGGGGAAUAUUGCACAAUGGGCGAAAGCCUGAUGCAGCAACGCCGUGUGAAUGAAGAAGGCCUUAGGGUCGUAAAAUUCUGUCCUAAGGGAAGAAAAAGAUGACGGUACCUUAGGAGGAAGCC
rnacentral:rRNA from 1 species